UCCGGUUUGUCACCGGCAGUCUCCUCCGAGUCCCCGGCGUUACCCGCUGGUAACAGAACAUGAGGGUUGCGCUCGUUGCGGGACUUAACCCAACAUUUCACAACACGAGCUGACGACAGCCAUGCACCACCUGUGUAGCACCCUCGAAGGCGACCACGUUUCGGCGGCUUGCAGCUACAUGUCAAGCCCUGGUAAGGUUCUUCGCGUUGCAUCGAAUUAAGCCACAUGCUCCACCGCUUGUGCGGGCCCCCGCCAAUUCCUUUGAGUUUCAACCUUGCGGCCGUAGUCCCCAGGCGGUUCACUUAAUGCGUUAGCUGCGGCACCGAGGGAAACCCCCGACACCUAGCACCCAUCGUUUACGGCGUGGACUAC
rnacentral:misc_RNA from 1 species